rnacentral:rRNA from 1 species
UACGUAGGGUGCGAGCGUUAAUCGGAAUUACUGGGCGUAAAGUGUGCGCAGGCGGCGCCGCAAGUCGAGUGUGAAAGCCCCGGGCUUAACUUGGGAAUUGCGCUCGAAACUAUGGUGCUGGAGUGUGGCAGAGGAAGGUGGAAUUCCACGUGUAGCGGUGAAAUGCGUAGAGAUGUGGAGGAACACCGAUGGCGAAGGCAGCCUUCUGGGCCAACACCGACGCUCAUGCACGAAAGCGUGGGGAGCAAACAGG